UGGCAGCAUUUGAACUAGAGGUAACUUUUGUUCUAUUUUUCAGGAAUCCAAAUCAUUUGCUGUGAACAUGUUUAAAGACCAGCUGAAGGCCCUCCAUCACAUUGACAUCACUACCUUUCCAACCCCUAUCGAUGUCACUUCCGGCAUACUUUGAUGACAUCAUAUUCACUACCCAGAAUUAUUCUUCCUGAAUCGUCAGUUCCUGUUCUGGCCUUCCUGACUCCACUCUGUCCUCCGUUCAGCCAUAGUUAUAAAACAGCUUUUCACCCUUGAGCUAACACUUAAGCUAUAUAAUGCAGUAGUGAGACCCCAUUUGGAGGACUGCACUCUACUGUAGUCCUGCAGCUUUGAUUUCUGUGUUACAAAGAAAGACAUGGCAGCCCUACAGAAUGUCUAAAGAAGAGCAGCUAAGUUGAUUCUCUUUGUCAUCUUGCAAAGCACUACAUUGUUGUAUGAAAAUUUGCUAUACUGUAUAAAUAAAUGUCGUUGUUAUUUCUCUAAGACACUGCCUGCCACUGGUGGUGACAUUGUGUAUGUGUGCUUCUAUUGUCUGGUGACACCUAUUGAGAGAGAGAUUAAGCGUGAAUGUACUGUGCAAUCAAGUAACAAAAACUAAACUUAGGUUAGAAGUAUAAAUUUAUUCCUAAUCAGGUUAAUGUUCAAUAGAUUUAGCACACAUGUGUUAACAUAUAGAGGGAAUGGCAGAAAUAGCAAUCUCGCUUCACAGCUCCAGACUCUGCAUAGUGUUUGCUUGUUUUCCCUGUGCAUUUGUGUAUAGAUUGGCAUUUGUGACUGUGCUAACUCUGUAUGAUUACAUGCUUUAACACUGAAUACUGGAAUGUGUCAGGAGUUCUUCUCAAUUAACAAAAUUAGACUUCAUGUGCUAUAAAGUAAAUAAUAUCCAUCCCCUAUCUCCACCCACAACCCAAGCCCCCAAAGGUUUGAAGCAUUGAUAUUUGCCAUAACACCACCAGAUCAUACAGUUUUAAAACAGUGUAGUGUUCCGGGUCUGAAUUUGAGAGGGAGACGCUCCUCUGGUGGAAGCGGGCUGUCCAAGGGGCCCAGAGGCCGCUUUAAUAAAAGGAUACGUGCCUGUGUGUCUGUCCAUUUGCUCGUAUGUCUCUGUCAUUCCAAAUGAUGGCACAUCACAAACAUUAUUAGUAACAAAAUGCAUUGCAUUUGUCAUUCCAAUAGAUGGUGGAUCACAAACGUCAACACAACUUUAACAAAUCUCAUACCAAGAGGCAUAUAACAGAGACAUACACAUUGCAUUGUGCACUACAAGCGUUUAAUGCUAAGGUCGAUGUUGAUUACUUAGAUUUCAAACUGUCGUAGAUGGCAAUCACUGCUAGUCUUUGAAUAUUUCAUCUGCAAAACUAACUAUCACAACUCUUACUGCCUUGAUAUUUUGUCCGGUUUAAAUGUGAGAAAAGUAGCACUAAAAGAUUUGCAGUAACCUACCAGCUAAAUUCAGGCAACACUAAUCGACUCUAAAGGAUUGAACAACAGGAAAAGGUUUAGCCUGUUGGUUUUAAUUAACCAGUGAUGAAAUCGUCAUGAAAAGAGCCAUUUAGAAAUGGGCAGCUGUAAAAUAGAAAUGGUCUUAAAAAAUACAACUAUUUUGAAAUAAAACAUGUAAUAAUUAAAAAAUAAUCACAUUGCAUUUCAUAAUAAUUAGAUGACUUAUUUAAUUAUAAGUUUUUCACAAUUUUUAGAUUCAUAAGGGGAAAGUAGCGCAGUAAGAUGGCUGCAACAACGACAGCUCCGAGUCAUCUCAGCAAAAAGUUAUUAUUUAUUUUCUUACUACUCACUCUCUUUGUGCAUACAACUUUAUCACACUUUCAGUAUGUUGCUAGUCUAUUUUUAACUUGUUUUUUUCAAAUAAUUUUUAGCUUUAUUGGAACUAGGCUGAGUGACUUGUU